rnacentral:rRNA from 1 species
GUGGGGGAUAUUGCACAAUGGGGGAAACCCUGAUGCAGCAACGCCGCGUGAAGGAAGAAGGUCUUCGGAUUGUAAACUUCUGUCUUUAGUGAAGAUAAUGACGGUAGCUAAAGAGGAAGCUCCGGCUAACUACGUGCCAGCAGCCGCGGUAAUACGUAGGGAGCAAGCGUUGUCCGGAUUUACUGGGUGUAAAGGGUGCGUAGGCGGUUCUGCAAGUCAGUUGUGAAAACUAUGGGCUUAACCCAUAGCCUGCAAUUGAAACUGUGGGACUUGAGUGAAGUAGAGGUAGGUGGAAUUCCCGGUGUAGCGGUGAAAUGCGUAGAGAUCGGGAGGAACACCAGUGGCGAAGGCGGCCUACUGGGCUUU